rnacentral:RNase_P_RNA from 1 species
UGUCGCUGCCGGUUGAAACCGGGAGAGGAAAGUCCGGGCAACACAGAGCACCGCGCAAGCUAACGACUUGAUACCCGUGAGGGUAUGGUAACGUAACAGAGAACGACCGCUUUCCGUCGGAGUUUCAGACCCGCAACGGCAAGCAAGGGUGAAAAGGCGGGGUAAGAGCCCACCGCGGGGGCAGCGAUGUCGCCCGGCAGUACGUCCCGCGGGUUGCAAGACCGUGUAUACCGGCAAACGAGGGUUGCUCGCCCGAUGCCGGGGGGUAGGUUGCUGGAGGCGGCGGGAGACCGCCGUCGUAGAUAAAUGACAGAGGCCCGGGACUCGUCCCGGGAACAGAACCCGGCUUACAGGGC